rnacentral:lncRNA from 1 species
UCUCAACCUUCUCCCCCAAUAAACAAAUUUCUAUGAACACUGAGUAUCUCGAUGGCUUUCAUCACCGAAGUAAUCCAUCUUCUUGUAUUUUGGUGUUGAAUGCCAUGGCUAAACUCAGUGUUAAUCUUCAACAUUUAUAUUAUGAUGGCGAAGCUUGUGUUCAGAUAUUAAUUUAGCUUCACUUAGUAACCUAUUUGAUUUCUUUAAUAAAGAGAGAAUGAUAUGAUGAUUAGAUUAAUUUCCCUAUUGGUUUGAUCGCCGGUAUGAUGGCACAUCAUGUAUUAGCUCUAUCUGAUCAUUCUCUUUCUCUCUCUAAUCUUUUAUUUUGUUUUGUAUAGCAAAUGUGUUUUUUUAAAACCUUUGAUUGCUUAUUUAAGUGUUGGAUAUUGCCGCUGUGGAGAGAAUGAUGUGAUGAUUAGAUUAAUUUCCCUAUUGGUUUGAUUGCUGAUAUGAUGGCACAUCAUGUAUUAGCUCUAUCUGAUCAUUCUCCUAAUAGUUUUUAGUAUAGAUUGCAAGUAAAAAUUCAGGGAUUUGACAAUUGAAUUAAGAAAUUUAUCUCAUGUUGUUCUGUAUUUGUUUUGAUUAUCAGUUUUUGUUUCAGAAGGUUAUUUGAUUGAUUGAUAUUGUUGAGAGAAUGAAAUGAUGAUUAGGAUAUGUUUCCCUAUUGGUUUGAUUGCCAGUAUGAUGGCACUUAUGUAUUAGCUCUAUCUGAUCAUUCUCCAACUUAAUAUUUAUUUAUUUUUCUACAUUUCUGUAAAUGGAUUAAUGUGAAGAUUUAACUUGGGUUCCUUUUAUUUAUUAAUUAAGAAUUUAAAUCCAGGUAAUAUAAUCUUGCUCCCCAGCAUCCAUCUGCCACUGCUACAUAUAUUGUGGUAGGUUACCAGAUAUCGUACCCUCAUUUGGUGAGAGCAGAAGCUCUGGGAUGUUCUUCCAGUUAGGUAGAGAAUCACAGACUCACAGUGCAUCGUCGAAUGUGUUGCAGGGUUGCAGAGGCACCUCAACAAGAGAUUUGUCCCUAAAGAAAGAGAAGAAGAUUAGUUCAUGAAAGACUUCAGAGAGAAAAGUUUUGUUGUAAAUUUUUUGUACGUGUAUCACAUUGAAUUUGUUUCCCCACACAAUCAAAAUCGUAUAAACAUGUAAUUCAACUGACUUUUAUUUUCCAUCUUGCUUUGCAAAAUUCUAUCAUUUGAAAAUGAGAAAUAGUUUUGUUGGUAGAUUCAUAUGUGAUAAAAAACUGACAAUGUUAAGAUUUGAGACUUUCAGAAUAUCUGAGGUCAAAUACAAUU